rnacentral:rRNA from 1 species
AUUGAACGCUGGCGGCAGGCUUAACACAUGCAAGUCGAGCGGAGAUGAGGUGCUUGCACCUUAUCUUAGCGGCGGACGGGUGAGUAAUGCUUAGGAAUCUGCCUAUUAGUGGGGGACAACAUUCCGAAAGGAAUGCUAAUACCGCAUACGUCCUACGGGAGAAAGCAGGGGAUCUUCGGACCUUGCGCUAAUAGAUGAGCCUAAGUCGGAUUAGCUAGUUGGUGGGGUAAAGGCCUACCAAGGCGACGAUCUGUAGCGGGUCUGAGAGGAUGAUCCGCCAUACUGGGACUGAGACACGGCCCAGACUCCUACGGGAGGCAGCAGUGGGGAAUAUAGGACAAUGGGGGGAACCCUGAUCCAGCCAUGCCGCGUGUGUGAAGAAGGCCUUAUGGUUGUAAAGCACUUUAAGCGAGGAGGAGGCUACUGAGACUAAUACUCUUGGAUAGUGGACGUUACUCGCAGAAUAAGCACCGGCUAACUCUGUGCCAGCCGCCGCCGUAAUAC